GAGGUAGCAAUACCUAGUGGCGGACGGGUGAGUAAUGCCUGGGUAACCUGCCUUCUAGUGGGGGAUACCCGCCCGAAAGGGCGGCUAAUACCGCAUGAGCUCAUUGGCUGGAAUGCUGAUGAGGAAAGAUUCAUUGCUAGAAGAGGGGCCCGCGUUCGAUUAGCUAGUUGGUGAGGUAACGGCUCACCAAGGCGACGAUCGAUAGCUGGUCUGAGAGGACGAUCAGCCACACUGGCACUGAAACACGGGCCAGACUCCUACGGGAGGCAGCAGUGGG
rnacentral:misc_RNA from 1 species